UAGGGAAUAUUAGAAAUGGACGAAAGUCUGAUCUAGCAACACCGCGUGUGCGAUGAAGGCCUUCGGGUUGUAAAGCACUUUUUGGAAGGAUUAGGAAGGAAUGUACUUCCAGAAUAAGUCUCGGCUAACUACGUGCCAGCAGCCGCGGUAACACGUAGGAGGCGAACGUUAUCCGGAUUUACUGGGCGUAAAGCGCGUGUAGGUGGUUCUGUAAGUAGGGCGUGAAAGCUCCUGGCUCAACUGGGAGAGGCCGUUCUAAACUGCAGAGCUUGAGGAUGGUAGAGGGGGGUGGAAUUCCGGGUGUAGCGGUGGGAUGCGCAGAUAUCCGGAGGAACACCAGUGGCGAAGGCGGCCUCCUGGACCAUUCCUGACACUCAGACGCGAAAGCUAGGGUAGCAAACGG
rnacentral:rRNA from 1 species